AUGGGAAAGUUCUGUACCUUCUAACCAAUUUUGCUGUAAACCUAAAACUGCUCUUAAAAGUAAAGUCUAUUACCAAAAAAAUGGCUGCAAAUUCUUUGACAUUCCUCCCAUCGAGAGUUUGGGUGGAGGGAGGGGUCUGUAUCCCCUCCUGUUAAAUCUGAGUGGGCUUGAGACUGUGGGACUUCCAGGGUUAGCUCAGGAAAGGCAAUGCUGCUUCCUCUUUGUUUGCUGGGACACUUGCCUUUAGAGCCUUAAGCCAUAGUGUAUGAAGUCUGACUGCUCUGAGGCCACCAUGCUGUGUAGAAGCCCAGGCCACCUGGAGAGGCCACGUAUGGGUGUUCCAGCUGCAGCCACAGCUGAGGUCCCAGCUGACAGCCAGUAUCAUCUACUGGACACAUGGAUGCCUCCAGGUGAUUCCGGUCAUAUUGAGUCAACCCCCGGUGUUCAUGCACCCAGUCAAGGCCCCAGACGUGGAGCAGAGCCAAGCUGUCCCUGAUGUGUUCUAUCCAAAUUCCUGACCCACAGAAUUUGGGAGCAUAAUAAAACAGUUGCUUUAUGCAACUAUGGUCAUAGUGAUUUGUUACACGUUGAUAGUAACUUAAAUGUGAAGGCUGCAUAGAAUCACGGUUAAUAAGGAAUCCAGAACCCAUCUGCUUGACUCCCCCAUUUACCACCACCUCCGCAACCUGGUGCAAGGUAUUUCAACUCUUGUGCCUCAAUUUUCUCAUUGGUAAAUUGUAGGUACUAUUAGUGCCUACCUAAUAUGGGUUACUGUGAAUAUUCAGUGAUUCAGAAAGUGCUUAAAACACUGCGUGGUACCCAGUAAACGCUCCAUAAAGAUUUGCUGUUCUAUUCCAAAGCCUUUCCUGACCACUGUAGCCCAUGGUGAUGUCUUCUCUUAUUCAAUCCCUCAUCGGGCACCACUCACCUUUCCCCAGGGACGACUGUUGGGUUGUCUAAGAAUGUCUUCUCUCCCUGGCCUGACUGCUGGGGUCUUCAGGGCAGGGAACAGCAUGCAUCUGGCAUCUCAACAGCUGUGGGCACAGAGCUUUGCACAGAAUGGAUGUUCUAAAGUAUAUGUUGAAGAAGAAAAACACAAGGCACAGACAGGCACAUGAAUGGCUCUCAUUGGUUCAGUGCCAACGACAGCUCGGGAGGGCUGGUAACUCUCCAUCCUCAGUGUGCUCUGCCUAAGAUAAUCCUCCUCCCUGGCACUUCUCUUCUAUUAUGCUCUUCAUCCGCUCUCUUAUGUUCCAGUCUUUUUGGAAGAUUUUGGUUCAAUGAGUUCCUUUCACGCUCAGUGUCAAAAGUACCUUGUUGCAUUUCCUGAUAAACAGUUGUUUGGACAUAUGGAAAUUCCUAGCAUUGCUCAAAGUUGACACGAGUAUGGGAAAUAGUCAUUACCUCAUCCUGCUAGCAUGAGAGUUCCUGGAUGCAGGUAUUUUUGAAAGUAAAUUGGCCUGGAGGAGCCAAGAUGGCCGAAUAGGAACAGCUCCGGUCUACAGCUCCCAGCGUGAGCGACGCAGAAGACGGUGAUUUCUG
rnacentral:lncRNA from 1 species